GGUCAAGUGAAUAAGCGCAUACGGUGAAUGCCUAGGCAGUAAGAGGCGAAGAAGGACGUUGUAGCAUGCGAUAAGCUGCGGGGAGUUUGCAAACAAACUUUGAUCCGCAGAUUUCCGAAUGGGGAAACCCAAUGGGCACAAGCUCAUUAUCUUGCUCUGAAUACAUAGGAGUAAGAGGCGAACCGGGAGAACUGAAACAUCUAAGUACCCCGAGGAAAAGAAAUCAACCGAGAUUCCCUAAGUAGUGGCGAGCGAACGGGGACCAGCCCUUAAGCAUUUAGCAAGUUAGUAGAACAGUCUGGAAAGUCUGGCGAUACAGCGUGAUAGCCGCGUAUACGAAAACUUAUUAAGUGUGAAAUCGAGUAGGUCGGAGCACGUGAAACUUUGACUGAACAUGGGGGACCAUCCUCCAAGGCUAAAUACUCCUUACUGACCGAUAGUGAACCAGUACCGUGAGGGAAAGGCGAAAAGAACCCCGGAGAGGGGAGUGAAAUAGAUCCUGAAACCGUAUGCGUACAAGCAGUGGGAGCCCCUCACCUAGAAAUCUUUUAAAAAAUGUGAAGCACAUUUUUCAAAGAGAUUUGUAGGUGAGGGGUGACUGCGUACCUUUUGUAUAAUGGGUCAGCGACUUACAUUUUGUGGCCAGCUUAACCGACUAGGGGAGGCGUAGCGAAAGCGAGUCUUAAUAGGGCGUUUAGUCGCAAGGUGUAGACCCGAAACCGGGCGAUCUAUCCAUGGCCAGGUUGAAGAUCAGGUAAUACUGAUUGGAGGACCGAACCCACUUAUGUUGAAAAAUGAGGGGAUGAGCUGUGGAUCGGAGUGAAAGGCUAAUCAAGCCCGGAGAUAGCUGGUUCUCCUCGAAAGCUAUUUAGGUAGCGCCUCGUGUAUGACUGCUGGGGGUAGAGCACUGUUUCGGCUAGGGGGUCAUCCCGACUUACCAACCCGAUGCAAACUCCGAAUACCAGCAAGUUUGAGCACGGGAGACACACGGCGGGUGAUAAGGUCCGUCGUGGAAAGGGAAACAGCCCAGACCGUCAGCUAAGGUCCCCAAAUCUAUGCUCAGUGGAAAACGAUGUGAGAAGGCCCAGACAGCCAGGAGGUUGGCUUAGAAGCAGCCAUCCUUUAAAGAAAGCGUAAUAGCUCACUGGUCGAGUCGGCUUGCGCGGAAGAUUUACCGGGGCUAAGCAUAGUACCGAAGCUACGGAUUCAGACAACGUCUGAGUGGUAGAGGAGCGUUCUGUACGCCUGCGAAGGGAAGUUGAGAAGCUUCCUGGAGGUAUCAGAAGUGCGAAUGCUGACAUGAGUAACGAUAAUGGAGGUGAAAAACCUCCACGCCGAAAGCCCAAGGUUUCCUGCGCAACGUUAAUCGACGCAGGGUUAGUCGGCACCUAAGGCGAGGCCGAAAGGCGUAGUCGAUGGAAAACAGGUUAAUAUUCCUGUACUUGUUAUAACUGCGAUGGGGUGACGGAGAAGGCUAGGUCAGCUGCCUGUUGGAAUAGGUAGUUUAAGCGUGUAGGGAGUGAAAUUAGGCAAAUCCGGUUUCACAAUCCUGAGGCGUGACGACGAGUCUCUUUAUAAGGAGACGAAGUGAUUGAUGCCCUGCUUCCAAGAAAACCCUCUAAGCUUCAGGUUAUGACGAGCCGUACCCCAAACCGACACAGGUGGGUGGGAUGAGAAUUCUAAGGCGCUUGAGAGAACUCGGGUGAAGGAACUAGGCAAAAUGGUACCGUAACUUCGGGAGAAGGUACGCCCUUGUUAGGUGAAGGCCCUGCGGCUGGAGCUGAAGAGGGUAGCAUUAAACUGGUGGCUGCGACUGUUUAGCAAAAACAUAGCACUCUGCAAACACGAAAGUGGACGUAUAGGGUGUGACGCCUGCCCGGUGCCGGAAGGUUAAUUGAUGGGGUUACCCCUCACCUAGAUUAUUUAGAGCCAUGUAUUACGUUUACGUGCUGUAUAGUCGGACGGAAGAUGAAUUUUAUCUGGGUUCGACGAUUGAUUUAAAAAAACGUCUGCGCCAACACAGGCAAGGCGAGAACAAAUCGACAAAAAAGCACAGGACUGGAUCGUAUCUUAUUAUGAAGCCUACUUAACAGAGCAGGCGGCAAAAGGACGGGAAAGUCAGUUAAAACGAAGUGGCAAAGCGUAUCACAGCUUAAGACAGCGGAUACGGGAAAGCAUAGAUAAUCUAGGUGAGGGGGAAGCUCUUGAUCGAAGCCCCGGUAAACGGCGGCCGUAACUAUAACGGUCCUAAGGUAGCGAAAUUCCUUGUCGGGUAAGUUCCGACCUGCACGAAUGGCGUAACGAUGGCCACACUGUCUCCACCCGAGACUCAGUGAAAUUGAAAUCGCUGUGAAGAUGCAGUGUACCCGCGGCUAGACGGAAAGACCCCGUGCACCUUUACUAUAGCUUUACACUGGACUUUGAGCCUACUUGUGUAGGAUAGGUGGGAGGCUUUGAAGCGGCGACGCCAGUUGUCGUGGAGCCAUCCUUGAAAUACCACCCUGGUAUGUUUGAAGUUCUAACCUAGACCCGUUAUCCGGGUUGGGGACAGUGUAUGGUGGGUAGUUUGACUGGGGCGGUCUCCUCCCAAAGAGUAACGGAGGAGCACGAAGGUACCCUCAGCAUGGUCGGAAAUCAUGCAAUGAGUGCAAAGGCAUAAGGGUGCUUGACUGCGAGACGGACAGGUCGAGCAGGUACGAAAGUAGGUCUUAGUGAUCCGGUGGUUCUGAAUGGAAGGGCCAUCGCUCAACGGAUAAAAGGUACGCCGGGGAUAACAGGCUGAUACCGCCCAAGAGUUCAUAUCGACGGCGGUGUUUGGCACCUCGAUGUCGGCUCAUCACAUCCUGGGGCUGAAGCAGGUCCCAAGGGUAUGGCUGUUCGCCAUUUAAAGUGGUACGCGAGCUGGGUUCAGAACGUCGUGAGACAGUUCGGUCCCUAUCUGCCGUGGGCGUUUGAGAUUUGAGGGAAGCUGCUCCUAGUACGAGAGGACCGGAGUGGACGAUCCUCUGGUGUUCCGGUUGUCACGCCAGUGGCAUUGCCGGGUAGCUAUGAUCGGACAGGAUAACCGCUGAAAGCAUCUAAGCGGGAAGCCCCUCCCAAGAUGAGAUCUCACUGGGACCAUGAGUCCCCUGAAGGGCCCUAAGAGACUAUUAGGUUGAUAGGUCAGGUGUGGAAGUGCGGUAACGUAUGAAGCUAACUGAUACUAAUUGCCCGUGAGGCUUGACCAU
rnacentral:rRNA from 1 species